UGGGGUAACCUGCCUCCAAAAAGGGGGAAUAGCCCUUCCCGGGAAAAGGGGAACCGGAA
rnacentral:rRNA from 1 species